AUGCCGCCCAGGCCGGCGAGGCGGGUGUUCCAGUACAUCUCCUCGCCCCGCAGGCCGCCGCCGUCCCCGCUGCCCGCGGCCCCCGCCGCCGGGGAGGCCACGGCCUCCGAGGCCGACGCCGACUCGGUCUACCACAUCGUGACGGCCGCGCCCACGCCGUCGGCCAUGGAGUCCGCGCUCUCCGCCUCCGCCGUCCCUCUCUCGCCGCCGCUCCUCGACCUCGUCCUCCGCCGCUUCCGCUUCGCCCACGGGGACCCGCUCCGCGCGCUCUCGCUCCUCUCGCUCGCCGCCGACCGCUGCGGCGUCGCGCCCUCCCCCUUCGCGCUCGACACGGCCCUCUACGUGCUCGGCCGCGCCCGCCGCUUCUCCCACAUGUGGGACCUCGUCCAGUCCAUCCACCGGCUCUGCCCCGACGCCAUCACCGCGCGCACCGCCAUGGUCGUCCUCGGCCGCGUCGCCAAGAUCUGCUCCGUCCGCGAGACCGUCGCCUCCUUCCGCCGCCUCUUGCGGCUCUUCCGCGGCCGCGAGGGCACCGAGUCGGCCGACCUCUUCAACGCGCUGCUCCGCACGCUCUGCCAGGAGAAGAGCAUGUCCGACGCGCGCAACGUCUACCACGCGCACAAGCACGAGUUCCAGGUGAACCGCCAUACCUUCAACAUCCUGCUCUCCGGGUGGAAGUCCUCCGAGGAUGCCGAUGCGUUCUUCGCAGAGAUGCGAGAGCACGGGAUUGAUCCUGACUUGGUCACCUACAACUCUUUGAUUGAUUGCCACUGCAAGAACCAUGGCGUGGAGAAGGCCUAUAAGCUGCUCGAUGAAAUGCGUGGGAAUGAAAUUGCUCCCGAUGUGAUCACCUAUACGAGUUUGAUUGGCGGAUUGGGACUGGUUGGCCAGCCUGACAAGGCUAGAGACCUGCUGAAGGAGAUGCGUGAGCUUGGAUGUCACCCGGAUGUGGCGGCGUACAAUGCCACAAUACGGAACUUUGUUAUAGCAAAGAGGCUUGGUGAUGCGUUUGCGUUGAUGGACGAAAUGGCCUCAAGGGGACUGAUGCCGAAUGCCACGACAUAUAACCUUUUCUUCCGGUUCUACUACUGGGCGUACGAUAUUGGUAGCACGUGGCUGUUGUAUGAGCGGAUGCGGUCUGAAAGAUGCUUCCCCAACACGCAAUCUUGCAUGUUUAUUAUCAGGUUAUGUCAUCGGCAUGGUAAGGUGGCAGAAGCACUAGAGCUGUGGGGCGAUAUGGUCGAGAACGGGUUUGGAUCAUUCACCUUGGUGUCAGAUGUUUUGUUUGACCUGUUAUGUGAUGAGGGAAAGCUGGAGGAGGCUGAGAGGUGCUUCCAUCAAAUUACUGAUUUGGGGCAGAAACCCAGCAGCAUUUCAUUUAGAAGAAUCAAGAUACUAAUGCAGCUUGCCAACCGGGAAGAAUCUAUUGCCGGGUUAACUGAGAAAAUGGCUCGGUUUGGCCGGCUGCUGCCUGAGGAUUGCCAAAGAGUUCGUCCCCCUGCUGAAACCACACCCGAUGGAGAUGAUACUGAAAUAAUAAUAGCAACUUAG
rnacentral:rRNA from 1 species